rnacentral:sRNA from 1 species
AGCAGUAUCAAAGUAUCAUUCAUUCGCUUGGAAUUUUUGUCUAAGAUGAAUUUCUUUUUUGGAAUUGUUGUUCUCGUAGCUACACUCGUUGCUGUAAAUGGCCAAUGUUUUCGUAUGCCAGCCGUUUUAAAUUGCCGUGAGCCACUUAAUGUGGGUCAUUCUGUAGGUAAUUGUCGACCAGGAGUCAGAUGGUGGUUCGAUAGAUCAACUAGGACUUGCAAACAAUUCACCCAUCGUGGUUGUGGUGGCAACGGUAAUCGUCAUUGCACAAAAUACGAAUGUGAAAUGGGAUGCAGAGGCCAAUAAAUGGGGUUUACAGUGAACAGUGUAGUCUAUGCCUUUAAUAAAUGUGCAAGCAAAAUACUA